rnacentral:rRNA from 1 species
AGAACGAACGCUGGCGGCAUGCCUAACACAUGCAAGUCGAACGCUUCCGGGGCUUCGGUCGCGGAGGAGUGGCGCACGGGUGAGUAGCGCGUGGGAACCUGCCCUGUUGUGGGGGAUAACCGAGGGAAACUUCGGCUAAUACCGCAUACGCCCCGGGACUUGGUCUUCGGAUUAGGUCUGGGGGGAAAGAUUGAUCGCAGCAGGAGGGGCCCGCGUCGGAUUAGCUGGUUGGUGGGGUAACGGCUCACCAAGGCGAUGAUCCGUAGCUGGUCUGAGAGGAUGAUCAGCCACACUGGGACUGAGACACGGCCCAGACUCCUACGGGAGGCAGCAGUGGGGAAUAUUGGACAAUGGGGGCAACCCUGAUCCAGCAAUGCCGCGUGAGUGAUGAAGGCCUUAGGGUUGUAAAGUCCUUUCGGCGGGGAAGAUGAUGACGGUACCCGCAGAAGAAGCCCCGGCUAACUUCGCGCCAGCAGCCGCGGUAA